GCAUUAAUCGGAUUUAUUGGGCGUAAAGGGCGCGUAGGCGGAAAUUUAAGUCAGAUGUGAAAUCCCGGAGCUCAACUCCGGAACAGCAUUUGAAACUGGAUUUCUAGAGGGUAGGCGGAGAAAACGGAAUUCCACAAGUAGCGGUGAAAUGCGUAGAUAUGUGGAAGAACACCAGUGGCGAAGGCGGUUUUCUAGCUUACACCUGACGCUGAUGCGCGAAAGCAAG
rnacentral:rRNA from 1 species